rnacentral:rRNA from 1 species
AUACGAAGGGGGCUAGCGUUGCUCGGAAUUACUGGGCGUAAAGGGCGCGUAGGCGGCGCAUUUAGUCAGGCGUGAAAGCCCUGGGCUCAACCUGGGGACUGCGCUUGAUACGGGUGUGCUAGAGGACGGAAGAGGGUCGCGGAAUUCCCAGUGUAGAGGUGAAAUUCGUAGAUAUUGGGAAGAACACCGGUGGCGAAGGCGGCGACCUGGUCCGUUACUGACGCUGAGGCGCGACAGCGUGGGGAGCAAACAGGA